GUUACGCCUUCCCUCUCGCAAUGCACUUGCCUUCUACCGGCUGGGAUAUACGCUGCGAACAAUGCAGUGCCCAAUCCGUAGUGCAGCAGUGGAGGACACUAUCAUGGACUAAUGGCAAGCCUGGCUCCUACGUCGCGGUCAACUUCGUUGGCAGGGGCGGCUUUGUCGACGCAAGGGGAACUAUCACCACACGCCAGGAGUGUGAUGCCAAGCCCCGAAACCGACGAGCAUCUGGAAGAUAAAACGGCGGCGGAGAGCAUGACAACGCACACCAGGAACACGAACAGCAGCUUGACUUCCGAGGAAGCGGAAGCUACAUCUUGUUCACCUGCAUCAUACCCGUCAUUCUGGG
rnacentral:lncRNA from 1 species